AUACCCCCCUCCCUCUCUCACGAUGCUCUCCCCUUUUCCUCUUCUCUUUUCCUUUUUUUUCCUUCUCCUCAUCUCCUCUCUCUUCCUCCUUCAUUCACGCACGCACAACCCAUGAGAGAGUGAGACGUUGCAGAUUUUUGGAGAGGGAGAUAGUGAGUACGACGCAGAGAAGAAAAGAAGAAGAAGAAGAGAAGGAGAAACGGAUUUCGUCCAUGGGUCUUUAUAAGGGUCGUGUCAUAAUUGGAGACUUCAAUGGGUUCUUCAAUGUUGAGUUCGAGUCAUGAGUCCAAAUGUCCAGUGCAGCCAAGAUGAUGUUCAUUUGGCUGCAGGUACUCCGAUCUUAGUUGAUGGUGUUGUAGAUGUGCACUUGGGAUAUUAUGAUCGAAGCUCGUCGUGAUGGUCAUAAUUGCGGGACCAUAGGUGUCCUCUGUUUUAUGGGUUUUGUUUAUGGCUUGUGACGCCUGUGUCACUUGCAAUUGUAUAAAGUCAUUUAUGUUAUAUAUUUAAUUUGAAGAAAGACUUAAAUAGAUAGAUGUAAUAUUGGCUCUUGAUUAUGAUUAAUUUAUGAUAGAAGUUUAAGAUGUGAUUUCCGCUA